rnacentral:tRNA from 1 species
GUGGGUGUAGCUCAGUCCGGUAAGAGCACCAGGUUGUGGCCCUGGGGGCCGCGGGUUCAAAUCCCGUCACUCACCCCA